CCUACGGGUGGCAGCAGUGGGGAAUAUUGCACAAUGGGGGAAACCCUGAUGCAGCGACGCCGCGUGAGUGAAGAAGUAUUUCGGUAUGUAAAGCUCUAUCAGCAGGGAAGAAGAAAGACGGUACCUGACUAAGAAGCCCCGGCUAACUACGUGCCAGCAGCCGCGGUAAUACGUAGGGGGCAAGGGUUAUCCGGAUUUACUGGGUGUAAAGGGAGGCUAAGCGGCUGUGCAAAUCUGAAGUGAAAGCCCAGGGCUCAACCCUGGGAAUGCUUUGGAAACUGUGGAGCUAGAGUGCUGGAGAGGUAGGUGGAAUACCUAGAGUAGCGGUGAAAUGCGUAGAUAUUAGGUAGAACACCAGUGGCGAAGGCGGCUUACUGGACAGUAACUGACGUUGAGGCUCGAGAGCGUGGGGAGCAAACAGGAUUAGAUACCCCUGUAGUC
rnacentral:rRNA from 1 species